rnacentral:rRNA from 1 species
AAGGCAGCUACACGGCGACGUGAUGCUAAUCCCUAAAGCCUCUCUCAGUUCGGAUUGGAGUCUGCAACCCGACUCCAUGAAGUCGGAGUUGCUAGUAAUCGCGGAUCAGCAUGCCGCGGUGAAUACGUUCCCGGGUCUUGUACACACCGCCCGUCACACCACCCGAGUCGUCUGCACCCGAAGUCGCUGGCCCAACCCUUGUGGAGGGAGGCGCCGAAGGUGUGGAGGGUAAGGGGGGUGAAGUCGUAACAAGGUAGC